rnacentral:rRNA from 1 species
GACGGAGGGUGCAAGCGUUGUUCGGAUUGACUGGGCGUAAAGGGCGUGUAGGCGGUUGGUCAAGUCUGAUGUGAAAGCCCGGGGCUCAGCUUCGGAAGUGCAUCGGAAACUAGCCAGCUGGAGCGCGAUAGAGGAGGGCGGAAUUCCUGGUGUAGCGGUGAAAUGCGUAGAUAUCAGGAGGAACACCGGCGGCGAAGGCGGCCCUCUGGAUCGUUGCUGACGCUGAGACGCGAAAGCGUGGGGAGCAAACAGG